AUACUUACCUGGUAGGGGAGGUACUAUGAUAAUGGAGGGGAUUUUCCCAGGAUGAAGUUUAUCCAAUGCAUUCCAGAUGUGCUGACCCUGUGAUUUCCACACAUGUGGGAAAUUCAACCACAUAAAUUUUUGGUAAUUAGGAACUGUGUUCAUGAUCUCCCUUA